GGGAAUUUUUCACCCCAAAAAGGGGCCCGUUCUGGUGGCUUUUCAGGGGAUCAGGUUUUGGGGAUAACAGUUUGGGAUUUUUUUCCUGGCAGGAGCUACUCCUCCCUGAUGAAGGCUGAGAACAUGUCCUCCAACCAGGAUGGCAACGACUCCGACGACUUCAUGUGAGCGGAGCCCCCCUCGGCCCCGAUGCUGAAAUGCCAAAAA